rnacentral:misc_RNA from 1 species
AUUUCGAUCCGGGGAGUAAAACCAAGGUAAAUAAUCUCUCCUCAUCCAUUCAACUCUAUCUCUUCGACCCUUGCGAGCAAGAUCAAUGAUGGAGAACAACAUGGUUGCCAAGGACAUUAACAUGAUAACCAGUGCAUAUUGGGGCUUGUGCACUAAAGAUAGCUGAUCAAAAACAGCCGGUGGAAGCUCCACUACGAAAUUUGCGAUGAGCAAAAUCCUUUCCACGAUCAUUGAAUCAACUCUUGUGCGUGGAUUCCUUGGAAAUCUGGAACA